GUGCUCGCUUCGACAGCACAUAUACUAAAACUGGAACGAUACAGAGAAGAUUAGCAUGGCCUCUGCGCAAGGAUGACACGCAAAUAUGUGAAGCGUUCCAUAUUUUU
rnacentral:snRNA from 1 species